GAAGAACCAGCCUCCUGGAGGGUGGAGGAGAAGCAAGUCUUUGGAGAAAGGACGAGUUCUGUUUCGUAAAUGUUGAGUCCGUGGUGCCUGUAGCACAUUUAGACAAAGAUGUUGAGUAGAUUGAUUCCUCCAUUUACUCGUUCAGCAAACGUUUAUUAGGGAGAGUUAAUGUGGUGACUGAAAGCUCAAAACAGACUCUAUGGCUCCAGACUCUGGCUCUGCCAAUUUGAUCUCCAGAAAAACGAAUGAACCGUUCCCUGGAUUCACUGGGUCACAGCACUUAUUCCAAUUGAUUUGACGUAUGUGUUUCUCUCUCUCUACCUCUAGGCUGUGAGUAGGGCAAGGACCAUGUCAAAGGUAGAUCGUGCAAAGGACUUAACAUAUAGUAAGCACUUACCAGCAAGCACUGAAUUAAUAAUUAGUGAAUUCAUCCUUGAAUGCAUGGUCCAUAGUCACGUGAUCCAACAGUGAGUCUUGGGGGCUCUACCUCCAAAAUUCAUCCCAAACUCAGUCAAUUUCUCACCACCUCUACCUCUACCACCCCAGGCCCCUCUUCUUGAUGACUCUCUCUCCUCCUUACUGGCCGGUUACCUCCUACAGGCUACUCUCCACACAGCAGCCAGAGUGGCCUUUUAAACACCAAGUUACUAUCAAGGUGCUAGUUUUCCUGUUGGAUGGUAGGUUCACGGGUGCUUACUGCGCUGAAAUACACGCAUACACAUAGAAAUAAUCCUGAAAAAGGAGCACGCAUGGACCAAGGAUGUGAGUAUGAAGCAAGAAUUAGCCACCCAAUUCUGUGCACCAGGAGGACAAAAAAGUACAGAAACAAAUACCUGUGAAUCAGAGGGCGCUACUCCUUAGCUCCCACCACGUGUGGAAUAAAACCCAGAGGCCUUGCCUGCGGGGGCCUCUUCCAUCUGCCCCUGUCACCUUCUCCAAACUCACCCCCACCUCCCUUCCCCCCUCCCUCAAGUCCAGCUACCCAGACUCCUCUUGUUUUGCACACACAGAAGUUAUGUUCCUGCUGCAGUCUUUGCACUUCUGUUCCUUCUGACUAGAAUGCUCUUCCCUAGGAUUUCAGGAUUUUCUCCUUCACUUGGUCAGGUCCCGGCUCAUUCAUCACCUCCUCAGGGGCCUUGAUCAUCCCUCUCAUGUUCACUCGGCUUUACUUUUCUUGAAGGAACAGAGCACUACCAAAUGAGCAUAGAUGGAAACGCCCAGACCGAGUGCAGGGAAAUUACACUAUCUAUUUGUUAACGCAUCUAGGCUUUUGUUGUCUGUCUCCCCCGCUGCACUGUAAGCCCCCGGAGGGGAGGGAUUCCCUUUCUUGUUCACUGCUGUGUCCCCAGUGCCCAGAUCAGUGCUUGGCACAUGAGAGAUAGUAGAUAAAUACUUGUUGAAUGAGUGGAUGAAUGGAAGAAGUGAUGGAAAGAUGGGUCAGAGGGUGAAUGAAUGAAUAAAUGAACAAAUGAAUGACUCUAUGAGCUCAGCUGGAGAGGGGAUCACUGUAGGAGCGGGAAAGGUCAGGAAAGGCUCCAUGGAAGGAGAUCUAGCUCAGGGACAGAGUCAGCAAGGCCUUAACGGAAGGCGCACAGGCAGAGGCAGGGAAGCUGGGAAGUCUAAGGCUGAUGGACUUUGCCUCUUUCUUCCUAUGUGCAGCACUCCUUCCCAGGGCAGGGGCUCCACCCGUCACCCAGUUCUCAAUGCAUUAACAACCAUCCUUGUCCCCGUGCAGAUAGAGAAGGCUGAGGCCAGGCCAUCUCCUCAGGUCCUGGUUAUUGGGGGUAGGGAGGGGCCAGGUUCUGGGUGUCCUGCUUCCCCUGCUCCCCCACCGCCCCCCCGGAGCCUUAGAAGAGCACCUGGCAGGUGGAUCCCAGGGGCAGCUGUUGCCAAGCCGGUCUGACCUUCAAGCCAGCUCUCUCUCUCCAAGCCUUGUUUAGAGACGAUGGGCCACUGCCAUGUCCUGGAAGUGUCGUGGUAGGUCUGCGGUGACUGAGUGUUGGUGCUUCUGUCCGGCAAAUGGAAUAGCGUUGGUUACAAGGAACUGUGCCAGGUGUUGAGGGAAGAUACCAGGAGACUAGUUCUUCUGCCGGCAGCUCCACUCCCGCAAGUCCCCUUCGUCUACUCACUCGGGGUUCUUUUCCCCGGGGAGCCCUCAGAGGCCAGAAGUUCCCUUUUUCCCUUGAGCGCUAUCCCCAGAGCAGCUCCACCAGACAGCCCCAGCCGUGUGGAGAGAGCUCACAUCACAGUGCUCUGGGGGCCUGACCGACCUGGCCUUCAGUGCCUCUGACCCUUCUCCCCAGAGGCCGCUGCUUUGUGCUGACCUUCUUGGAGAAGGCCAUGGCCAGGCCUACCCUGGGAGAACCACCAAAUGAGCAUAAAUGGAAAUGCCCAGACACUGCGCAGGGGUAAGGGAAGAUUGUCCCAGUGCUGGCACAGCAAGAAUUCCAAGGCUCAGAACCCAGAUGUUUGCGUGACCCGACUUGCUCAGCAGCAAAAUUGCUAUGUGAUAUUCAUAGAUUCAUUCAUUCAUUCAUUCAUUCAUUCAGCAAUUACUGGAACUCAAACUACAUACCAGGCACCGUUCCAGACCCUGCAGCUACAAAAGACAAAUAUCAUGGCCCCAUGGAGUUUAAUAACUAAUAAACAAGAAAACUAAGACAUGCAGUAUGUUAGAUGGUGGUAAGAGCUACAGAGGAAAACGAAGUGGGAAAGGAGCGAGCUUGUAGCUGGGUAGCAAUUUAAAAUAGGGAUGGCCAGGAAGACCUGACCGAAAACUCGAUGGUGGAAGUGGUGAAAAGGAGUUGGACUCUGGAUUGUCUUUGAGGGUAGAGCACACAGAUUUGCUGACGGGUGUGAGACAGAAGAAUCAAGGAUGACUCCAAGAUUUUUGGCCUGGGCAACUGGAAGGAUGAGAGGCGCCAUUAACAGGGAUAAGCCAACCACAGAUGUGCAUGUUUGGGGUGGGGGUGGAGAAUAUCAGAAGCUCGGUUUUGGAGGUAUUAAAUUUGAGAUGCCUUCAGACAUCAAGUGGAGAUGGCGAGCAGGCAGUUGGGUAAGUGAGUCUGAAAUUCAGGGAGGAGGUCUAGAGUAGAGAUAUGUGGGUGUUGUCAGUGCACAGAUUACCUAUGACAUGGCAGUGGAGGCUGUUUCUAGGUACUCACUUGCCUGGGGGUAUAUAAGGGACAGCCAGGCCACAACUCCACGCUCUUCUGCCUUGGCAGGCAUCCAGCUCCACCAAGGCUGCCAAGAACACCCAGCUUCAGAUACCUCCCCCACCCGCCCCGAGUCCUUAUCUCACUUACACCCUGCUUAUUCACUGCUUUGGAAGUAAACUCAAGUAAACGUCUCUUGACCAAGUUGCUUUUGCCCAUGGUCUAGACUAGCUCACCACUUCCCUUCCGAUGCACAUAGACAUACACACACAUCACUUGUAUGUUCGCAGAGGCAACACGAAAAGCCCCAUCUCUGCUGGCUGUACAAACCUCAGCAGUACACUGUGUUAAAGACUGUUGCAUUCCUAUUUGUGGGUUUCUAGAGUGCCCCUCGCCCUCCCCCUUCCUACCCCACACCCCAGAUCCCAAGCCAGAACAGCCCAUACCCGUUCACACAUUUACAUCUGCUGAGUGAGAACCUACACGUCCUGAGCUGGGUCAGGUCCAGACGGGAGACAGCCCCUGAGCCUCAAGGAAGCUCAGAGUCCAGUGGAAGUUAAAGGACAGUAACAGCCAGGGUGAUAAGGAGCAUGUAAAGGUAAAUCCAGGCAGCUGUGGGAGCAGAUGGAGGGGCAUCUACAGCAGCCUGCUAUCACGGGAGAUUUCCUAGAGGAAACAUCUCACCCGGCUAUGUAAGUAAGAAUAACCAGGCAGCUGAUGUGUGUGGAGCGUGUGUGGUUGGUGGAACAGGGCAUCCUAAGCCAAACCAACGGAUGUACAAAGUGGGAGAGGCACAGGGCUGGCCAUCAACCUGGACAGCUGAUGCCAAGCGUGCCAGAGGAAGAGACAGAAGGUAGGGGCUGGGGCAGGCAUCUACCUAAGGACCAGUUUAACAGGAACCCAGGGUUAUAUAACCGGAAGGGCAGGUGGGCAGGGGCAGGCUUCAAUCCAAUGAGCCUGGCUCCAAAGCCUGCGGGUGGCCUAAGGAUCACCCACAACGUGAGCUCCUGAGGAGCCUGAUAACAAUUCAAAGGCUGGGCUACACCCAGACCACCUGAAUUCAUAGGCUCUGGACCCCAGGAAUCUGUAGUAUUUCCACAAGAGUCCCAAAUAAUCUGAUGCACAGACUGGUCAGAACACCACUCCUCGCUCUUCUGUCUCUCCAGCUUUACCCUUGGUGACAGGGCCCCUGAAAGGCGGGACAUGCUUCACGUUCAUGGUCAUGGAUUAUGCCUACAUAAACACUUCUAAACCCAGGGAGUUCUGGGAAUUACAGUCAGACGAGGGUGGGGGUGGGGGAGGGGGAGCCGGAGAUGAGGAGAAGGAAUUUCUGGCAGGAGUGGGAGGAGGUAGGGGAGUUUGUUUGUUUGGGGUGUUUUGCAGGCAGAGGAUGUAGGAGGUCCUAUUCAGGCACCCAGCAAACAAGCCCUAGUCCCCAGCUCUUCCCAGCCCUUCAAGGACAGCAGGCAAAGAACCCAGGAAGCAGCCACUUUUUAUUCCACAACAGUAAAUUCCAGCUACUACACAGUGAUACGAAUUCUUCAGCACACCCUGUUACCUAGGCCCGCGCUGUCCAACAGAACCUUCUGCAGUGACGGAAACCAUUGUCCGCACUGUCCAACACAGUAGCCACGAAUCACUUUUCAUUACUGAGCACUUUCAAUGUGGCUA